rnacentral:rRNA from 1 species
UACGUAGGCAGCAAGCGUUGUUCGGAAUUACUGGGCGUAAAGAGUGUGUAGGCGGUGCUCCAAGUCUGGUGUGAAAUCUCCCGGCUCAACUGGGAGGGUGCGCUAGAAACUGGAAUGCUAGAGGAUGGGAGAGGUAAGCGGAAUUCCUGGUGUAGCGGUGAAAUGCGUAGAUAUCGUGAGGAAGACCAGUGGCGAAGGCGGGUUUCUGGAGAGUUCCUGACGCUGAGGCACGAAGGCCAGGGGAGCAAACGGG